rnacentral:rRNA from 1 species
AAGGGGCGCAAGCCUGAUCCAGCAAUGCCGCGUGGGUGAAGACGGCAUGCGGGUUGUAAAGCCCUUUAGGUGGGGAAGAAGGAUGAGGUGCGAAUACCGCCUUAUUUUGACAUUACCCACAGAAUAAGCACCGGCUAACUCCGUGCCAGCAGCCGCGGUAAUACGGAGGGUGCAAGCGUUAAUCAGAAUGACUGGGCGUAAAGCGUGCGUAGGUGGUAACGUUAGUCAGCCGUGAAAGCCCUGGGCUUAACCUGGGAAUAGCGGUUGAAACGGCGUAACUCGAGUGGGCUAGAGGACUGUGGAACUCCUGGUGUAGCGGUGAAAUGCGUAGAGAUCAGGAAGAACACCGAUGGCGAAGGCAGCGGUCUGGGGCCACACUGACACUGAGGCACGAAAGCGUGGGGAGCAAA